GGGAGGAAGGUGGGGAUGACGUCAAGUCCUCAUGGCCCUUAUGUCCAGGGCUACACACGUGCUACAAUGGGCAGUACAAAGGGUAGCAAGCCUGCGAAGGUGAGCCAAUCCCAAAAAGCUGUUCGUAGUUCGGAUUGGAGUCUGCAACUCGACUCCAUGAAGCUGGAAUCGCUAGUAAUCGCGGAUCAGCAUGCCGCGGUGAAUACGUUCCCGGGCCUU
rnacentral:rRNA from 1 species